rnacentral:tRNA from 1 species
GCCUUCGUGGUGUAGUGGUCAGCAUGCUGGGCACGUAUUUUAGAGGUCUGUGGUUCGAGUCCCGGCGAAGGCG